CCAUCGGUGAACCAGAUGUGAUCGCAAGCGCCGAGUUACAAAAAGUUAGAGAGCGGAGAGAGAGAGAGAGAGUUAGCGAGCUACCGUAGACGGGCGGAGCGCAACAUGGUGUCAAGGCCGGGAGACAAAGCGGUGUCAGAUUCUCCCUCGCUGCCUGCCAUUCAAAUCUCUCGCUGCACACACUUCAAAGAAUACGGUUACCGUGGCAACUGGCCACUUGUAGUGGCGAGCGGGCGACGGUACGAGAUGAGACUGGCUUUUGGUUUGUUCUGUAGCUCCAUCACGCAGAUCUCCUUAGAGCCGUGGUGCCCCACUUCCCCUUUUCUCGACCCCCAACGAUCGCAGACGACACGCUGCUCGCUGUUGGACUCACCGGGCCGGCUGACCCGAUGUGGUCAGUGGCUGCUCGUCUCCGUCCACACUUCACCGCUCCCACAGCAACAUCUGGAGGUCAUCGACCCGCUCAGCGGUCACGGGCAUGUUCUACUAGUAGUGAGCGAGGAGUCAGUGGCCGAAUAAAAGCAAGAGCUUGUGAGUUUACUGCACCAGGAUGAGGCGAUUUGUUUCUUUUCACUGUUGAUUGAAUGUUUCUCUCGCUGGUCUCCUACACACAGUUGGUUUAAAGGACGUGCAUGGUGAUAAAUUGACGGCAAUGAUUUACACUUAUGUAAAGAAUACUUUAUUACAAAGAAAACAGUGCCAAUGACGUCUACGUGACGCUGAAGCUGCAGGUAUGAAACACAACCGGGCCAAUUAUCUCCAACGACACGUCACGGCGCUGCAGAGAAAACACGGAAACCAAAGCCUGGACCCCAAAACACGGCAAUCAGAGAAUAAACUGAAACAGAGACAUCUUUGGCUCAUUCGUCACAUUGACAAACUGUCAGGCAGCUCCAGCUUGUUCAGAACGCCGCUGCUAGAGUUCUAACAAAGAACAAAAGAUGUGAGCACAUUACACCAAUUCUUAAAUCCUUACAUUGGCUCCCAGUAUGUCAGAGAAUUCAUUUCAACAUCCUACUGCUCACAUAUAAAUCACUGCAUGGUUUAGGGCCAAAGUAUAUCACUGAUAUGCUUCCACUACAUAAGCCUUCAAGAUCACUGAGAUCUUCUGACACCAACCUGUGAUUCCCAGAGUAAAUACAAGUCAUGGGAAAGCAUCAUUUAGUUACUACGCAACAGCUGGAAUAAACUUCCUGAAGAUUUAAGACUUGCCCCAACUCUGACCACGUUUAAAACAAGACUGAAAACUUUUACGUUCGUAAGAGUCCAGUUUGUGUGUCCAAUCUGUCAUCUAAAGCAUCGAGUGUGAACUACAGCUAUAAUCUAACAAUAUUAGAAAUGACAUCAAAUACCAUGACAACUAUCAUUAUUGUCCUGCAUGUAAAUCACAACCCUAAAACACACACGUUUAGCGUUGGUUUGCAACACACCUUCUUAUGUCACGUUAUGAGCGUGGAGAAAGAAUAACCUUUGACCUUUUGAAUUUGAGACACUAUUGCCUGAUGAUACAUAGUCGGCAUGAUUUGAACAGUCUGUUGUGCGUUCGUGGUGCUCGGCAUUGACCGAUGGAGGGAUGAACACUCACCCCUGAUUUGUAUUGUAUUAAAUCACAUUGUGGCGAAACAAAAGUUCCUCGUGUGGCAGGUCAGAGUUUAUGAUUAAAUAUGAUUAACUAAAAAAAAUAAAAAAAAAGCGUAAAGAAACGAAGUGCUUGGCGCGAUGAACACAUGAACCACGACUCGGCGUCAGUCGGUCCCUCACACACAACGCCGGAGCCGUUUAUUACCACACAGAAUGAUCGACAGGGACCAAAGCAGCGAGCAUCAUGGGACAUUAAUCCACACUUUACUCUGCGCCUCCUGUGGGUGAAGUACACAUUUAAGGUUCAGUAUCAAAACACACACUCGUGUCACCGUUACUGGGCAGUUUGAACUCGCCUGAAAACACAGAUGACACGUGGCACAUACGUGAAAUAUCCAGCGCAUAUACAGCAACUAUAUUGAAAAAAACACAGUUCAAAAAGGGACAUAAAAAGUCCCACUUCAGUGAACUGCCAGGCGGAAUGAGUGAAGUCUCACUACCGGAGGUAAGGACGCUCUCGUGGGCGCGGCUACACUAAACGCCAAAAUGAAACACAACAUGAUUAGAAGAUAUCCAUACUCGAACUAUAAUCGUAACCCGGAUCGUUUAACAACUUCUUCAGCGGUCGAAAGUCUAUUGCAUGCAAACAAGAGUCAGACGGGGAGAUAAGUGAUGCCGAAUAACAUACGUGUGCCUGCCGUCAUGUGCAAACGUUAUCCGUUAUAUUGACUGUGGGAACCCGGAGGUCGUCGUGAGAAGAAUCUAUCCGUCUAUUCACUUCAUCUAAUCGGUGACAGUGCAGCCGGACACGAGG
ensembl:lncRNA